rnacentral:rRNA from 1 species
AGCGAACGCUGGCGGCAGGCUUAACACAUGCAAGUCGAGCGGGCAUCCUUGUGGUGUCAGCGGCAGACGGGUGAGUAACGCGUGUGAACGUGCCCUUCGGUUCGGAAUAACUCAGGGAAACUUGAGCUAAUACCGGAUACGUGCGAGAGCAGAAAGGUUUAUCUGCCGAAGGAUCGGCGCGCGUCUGAUUAGCUAGUUGGUGAGGUUAUGGCUCACCAAGGCGACGAUCAGUAGCUGGUCUGAGAGGAUGAUCAGCCACACUGGCACUGAGACACGGCCCAGACUCCUACGGGAGGCAGCAGUGGGGAAUAGUGGACAAUGGGGGCAACCCUGAUCCAGCCAUGCCGCGUGAGUGAUGACGGCCUUAGGGUUGUAAAGCUCUUUUCUCCGGGACGAUAAUGACGGUACCGGAGGAAUAAGCCCCGGCUAACUUCGUG